rnacentral:misc_RNA from 1 species
GAUGAAGAACGUAGCGAAAUGCGAUAAGUAGUGUGAAUUGCAGAAUUCAGUGAAUCAUCGAAUCUUUGAACGCACAUUGCGCCCCUUGGUAUCCCAUGGGGCAUGCCUGUUCGAGCGUCAUUUGUACCUUCAAGCUCUGCUUGGUGUUGGGUGUUUGUCUCGCCUCUGCGUGUAGACUCGCCUCAAAAUAAUUGGCAGCCGGCAUAUUGAUUUCGGAGCGCAGUACAUCUCGCGCUUUGCACUCAUAACGACGACGUCCAAAAGUACAUUUUUACACUCUUGACCUCGGAUCAGGUAGGGAUACCCGCUGAACUUAAGCAUAUCAAUAAGCGGAGGA